ACCCUNUCCAAUUUUCACCACCGAACCCCUGGCUCCCCCCUCCANUAAAAANCCCACCAAAAGGCAAUAAUAAAGGGAAAUGGCAAAAUUCAUGGAACCUUCAAACCUUNAACCCCCCCUGGCCCCCCUGGGAUUUCCAAGAACNUGG
rnacentral:rRNA from 1 species